rnacentral:rRNA from 1 species
GACGAACGCUGGCGGCGUGCCUAACACAUGCAAGUCGAGCGAAGUUAUUCCUUCGGGAAUAACUUAGCGGCGGACGGGUGAGUAACACGUGGGUAACCUGCCUUAUAGGGGGGGAUAGCCUUCCGAAAGGAAGAUUAAUACCGAAUAACAUUGAGUUUUAGCAUGGAAGCGUAAACAACGGGGUAAUCCGCUAUAAGAUGGACCCGCGGCGCAUUAGCUAGUUGGUGAGGUAACGGCUCACCAAGGCGACGAUGCGUAGCCGACCUGAGAGGGUGAUCGGCCACAUUGGGACUGAGACACGGCCCAGACUCCUACGGGAGGCAGCAGUGGGGAAUAUUGCACAAUGGGGGAAACCCUGAUGCAGCAACGCCGCGUGAGUGAUGAAGGCCUUCGGGUUGUAAAGCUCUGUCUUUGGGGACGAUAAUGACGGUACCCAAGGAGGAAGCCACGGCUAACUACGUGCCAGCAGCCGCCGUAAAAC